AACGAACGCUGGCGGCAUGCCUAACACAUUCAAGUCGAACGAGACCUUCGGGUCUAGUGGCGCACGGGUGCGUAACGCGUGGGAACCUGCCCUUAGGUUCGGAAUAACUCCCCGAAAGGGGUGCUAAUACCGGAUAAUGUCUUCGGACCAAAGAUUUAUCGCCUUUGGAUGGGCCCGCGUUGGAUUAGCUAGUUUGUAGGGUAAAAGCCUACCAAGGCGACGAUCCAUAGCUGGUCUGAGAGGAUGAUCAGCCACACUGGGACUGAGACACGGCCCAGACUCCUACGGGAGGCAGCAGUGGGGAAUAUUGGACAAUGGGCGAAAGCCUGAUCCAGCAAUGCCGCGUGAGUGAUGAAGGCCUUAGGGUUGUAAAGCUCUUUUACCCGGGAUGAUAAUGACAGUACCGGGAGAAUAAGCUCCGGCUAACUCCGUG
rnacentral:rRNA from 1 species